GGGUUGUGAGGUUAAGCGACUAAGCGUACACGGUGGAUGCCCUGGCAGUCAGAGGCGAUGAAGGGCGUGCUAAUCUGCGAUAAGCGCCGGUAAGGUGAUAUGAACCGUUAUAACCGGCGAUACCCGAAUGGGGAAACCCAGUGUGAUUCGUCACACUAUCAUUAACUGAAUCCAUAGGUUAAUGAGGCGAACCGGGGGAACUGAAACAUCUAAGUACCCCGAGGAAAAGAAAUCAACCGAGAUUCCCCCAGUAGCGGCGAGCGAACGGGGAGGAGCCCAGAGCCUGAAUCAGCAUGUGUGUUAGUGGAAGCGUCUGGAAAGGCGCGCGAUACAGGGUGACAGCCCCGUACACAAAAGCGCAUGUGCUGUGAGCUCGAUGAGUAGGGCGGGACACGUGGUAUCCUGUCUGAAUAUGGGGGGACCAUCCUCCAAGGCUAAAUACUCCUGACUGACCGAUAGUGAACCAGUACCGUGAGGGAAAGGCGAAAAGAACCCCGGCGAGGGGAGUGAAAAAGAACCUGAAACCGUGUACGUACAAGCAGUGGGAGCACAGGUUUACCUGUGUGACUGCGUACCUUUUGUAUAAUGGGUCAGCGACUUAUAUUCUGUAGCAAGGUUAACCGAAUAGGGGAGCCGGAGGGAAACCGAGUCUUAACCGGGCGUUAAGUUGCAGGGUAUAGACCCGAAACCCGGUGAUCUAGCCAUGGGCAGGUUGAAGGUUGGGUAACACUAACUGGAGGACCGAACCGACUAAUGUUGAAAAAUUAGCGGAUGACCUGUGGCUGGGGGUGAAAGGCCAAUCAAACCGGGAGAUAGCUGGUUCUCCCCGAAAGCUAUUUAGGUAGCGCCUCGUGAAUUCAUCUCCGGGGGUAGAGCACUGUUUCGGCUAGGGGGCCAUCCCGGCUUACCAACCCGAUGCAAACUGCGAAUACCGGAGAAUGUUAUCACGGGAGACACACGGCGGGUGCUAACGUCCGUCGUGAAGAGGGAAACAACCCAGACCGCCAGCUAAGGUCCCAAAGUCAUGGUUAAGUGGGAAACGAUGUGGGAAGGCCCAGACAGCCAGGAUGUUGGCUUAGAAGCAGCCAUCAUUUAAAGAAAGCGUAAUAGCUCACUGGUCGAGUCGGCCUGCGCGGAAGAUGUAACGGGGCUAAACCAUGCACCGAAGCUGCGGCAGCGAC
rnacentral:rRNA from 1 species